UACGUAGGGUCCGAGCGUUGUCCGGAAUUAUUGGGCGUAAAGGGCUCGUAGGCGGUUUGUUGCGUCGGGAGUGAAAACUUACAGCUUAACUGUGAGCGUGCUUCCGAUACGGGCAGACUUGAGGUAUUCAGGGGAGAACGGAAUUCCUGGUGUAGCGGUGAAAUGCGUAGAUAUCUGGAGGAACACCGGUGGCGAAGGCGGCAUCCUGGACCGAUAUUGACGCUGAUGCGCGAAAGCCAGGGGAGCAAACAGG
rnacentral:rRNA from 1 species